rnacentral:rRNA from 1 species
AUGUACACAAAGGGGCCACCAUUGGAUGUUCUUAGAGCAAGCAUUUCUAGUGCCCCUAGCACAUCUAGCCAUGGUUCUGCACAAGAUGACUGUGACUCCUUAGGUGAUGUCUAUGUGUGGGGUGAAGUUGUUUGUGACAACUCUGCACGAACCAGUUCCGACACUGUAAUCAGAUCAACUGGGAAGACUGAUUUCCUCCUCCCAAAGCCGUUGGAGUCCAAUUUAGUCCUUGAUGUGUACCAUGUGGAUUGUGGGGUCAGGCAUGCCUCAUUGGUGACAAGAAAUGGAGAAGUUUUUACAUGGGGUGAAGAUUCUGGAGGCCGCCUUGGCCAUGGAACACGGGAAGAUUCUGUGCACCCUCGUCUCGUCGAGUCUUUAGCAGCUUGCAACAUAGAUUUUGUUGCCUGUGGGGAGUUUCAUACCUGUGCUGUGACGACAACCGGUGAGCUUUAUACCUGGGGAGAUGGAACUCACAAUGUUGGACUUCUAGGACAUGGCACUGAUGUAGGACACUGGAUACCCAGGAGGAUUUCUGGACCACUGGAAGGUCUCCAAAUUGCCUAUGUUUCUUGUGGGACCUGGCAUACAGCCUUGAUCACAUCAAUGGGCCAACUGUUCACCUUUGGAGACGGUUCAUUUGGGGUGUUAGGCCAUGGAGAUCUGAAGAGCAUUUCGUGUCCAAGGGAGGUAGAGUCACUGUCAGGGCUGAAGACAAUCGCAGUUGCAUGCGGUGUGUGGCACACUGCAGCCAUUGUAGAGGUUAUUGUCACUCAGUCCAGCGCGACCGUGUCUGCUGGGAAGCUAUUCACAUGGGGAGACGGCGACAAGCACCGACUCGGUCACGGUGAUAAGGAGGCACGGCUUAAGCCUACCUGUGUGGCUUCCCUUAUUGAUUAUGAUUUUUACAGGGUAGCAUGUGGCCACAGUCUUACUGUAGGCUUGACAACUUCUGGCAAAGUGUGGACCAUGGGCAAUUCUGUUUAUGGCCAGCUCGGGAAUCUGAAUUCAGAUGGGAGGCCAUGUUUGGUUGAAGAUAAGAUUGCAAGUGAACAUGUUCUCCAGAUCGCUUGUGGGUCCUACCAUGUUGCGGUUUUGACAAGUAGAAGUGAAGUUUUUACGUGGGGCAAAGGAGCUAAUGGGAGAUUGGGCCAUGGAGAUAUAGAGGACCGGAAGGUACCCACAACGGUCGAGGCAUUGAGAGACAGAGCUGUUAGGCACAUAGCCUGUGGUGCAAACUUCACUGCUGCCAUAUGCCUGCACAAAUGGGUCUCUGGAGCCGAUCAGUCCCAGUGCUCCUCGUGUCGGCAGCCAUUCGGGUUUACUCGAAAGAGGCAUAACUGCUACAACUGUGGACUUGUCCACUGUAAUGCAUGCACCUCACGGAAGGCGUUGAGAGCGGCAUUGGCUCCGAGUCCCGGGAAGCUUCACCGCGUUUGUGAUUCCUGCUACUCCAAGUUAAAGAAUGCCUCUAGUUCAGCUAAUAAGAAAGACCUUGCACCAGGUGAAAGCAAUGGAGAAGCUAGAGUAGGAAAAUCCAUCCUUUCUAGUAAUAUGGACAUGAUUAGAAGUUUGGACAGUAAGGCAGCAAAACAGGGGAAGAAGACUGAUGCACUGUCAUUUCUCCGGAAUCCUCAAGUUAGUUCGCUGCUGCAGCUGAGAGAUAUCGCUUUCUCCGGUGGCGCGGAUCCCAACAGACCAGCGGUUCCGAGAGCAGCGCGAACACCAGCGGCCCGGUCAGUAACCAGUUCAAGAGCCGUUUCCCCUUUCUCUCGCAGGUCUAGCCCGCCACGUUCUACAACACCAGUUCCAACAACUCAUGGUCUUUCUCUUUCCAAAAGUGCCACCGAUAAUCUGGUGAAAGCAAAUGAGCUCUUAAGCCAGGAAGUUGAGAGGCUGCGUGCACAGGUUGACAGCCUGAGAAAUCGUUGUGACCAUCAUGAACUUGAACUGCAUAAGUCAGCCAAGAAAGUACAAGAGGCCAUGACACUGGUCGCAGAGGAGUCUGCGAAAUCCAAAGCUGCAAAGGAAGUUAUAAAAUCUCUAACAGCACAGCUGAAGGACAUGGCUGAGAGGUUACCACCAGAACAUGGAGCUUAUGAUUUCAAUGAAGCAAAGCUAGUACAUGUUCCAAACGGGGUCGAGCCACAUGUCGCUACCUACUCUAGCAUGAAUGGAAAAGUUCACCAAGCAAGGAAUGAGUUGCUCAAUGCACCUAGUCCAAACUCUGGACGGUCGCCGCAUUCAAAUGGAGGAAUCUCAAAUCAACACAAAUUACUAGGCAAUAUUAGUGAAAAUAGUGAAGGCAGCACUCACAGCCUUAGAAUUACCAGUCCUCACGGAUCGGAUCGCCCUCACCGAAGAGCCCACAGCAAUAGUGAUGAGAUGCUGUCUGCAAGUAGCAGAGGUGAUGAUAAUGUCAGCAUAGAUGCUAGGUCCCUUCAAAAUGGUGACGACAGCUACAAACCUCGAGGAACAAUAUCAAUAUCCAGCAACCAAGUACAGGCUGAGUGGAUCGAGCAGUAUGAACCAGGUGUUUACAUAACUCUCACGACCCUCCGUGACGGGACUCGGGAUCUGAAGAGGGUUCGCUUCAGCCGAAGGCGCUUUGGGGAGCAUCAGGCUGAAAAUUGGUGGAACGAAAACCGCGAGAAAGUGUACGAGAAGUACAACGUGAGGAGCUCUGAACGGGUCUCGUCAGCAGCCUCGACCCGGUCGGCCUAUUAG